rnacentral:piRNA from 1 species
UAAGAUCAUAGGACUGGCCUAGCCCCC